ACGGAGGGUGCAAGCGUUAUUCGGAUUUAUUGGGCGUAAAGAGCACGUAGGCGGCCAUCUAAGUCAGAUGUGAAAGCCCGGAGCUCAACUCCGGAAGUGCAUUUGAUACUGGAUGGCUUGAGUAUGGGAGAGGGAAGUGGAAUUCCUGGUGUAGAGGUGAAAUUCGUAGAUAUCAGGAGGAACAUCGGUGGCGAAGGCGACUUCCUGGACCAAUACUGACGCUCAGGUGCGAAGGCGUGGGGAGCAAACAG
rnacentral:rRNA from 1 species